CCCACUUGGUAAACCAAAUAAAAAAAUGGGGAGCAACAUCCCACGACAAGAAACUUUUUUCUAUAAGGCCAAAUGGUCGGCCGAGGUCGAUUCAGUGCUAUUGUCUGUCAUUGUUUGGGCAAAGAACAUGGGCCGAUGGAGCGGCAGCGUCAUCCCCAUCGCCAUUCUCCAGGAGGUCAUCGAGUCCAUUCAAUCUGAAACCGGUGUGUCGUUCUCAUGGCUCGAGUUGUACGAGCGGUACCAAUUUCUUGAGCAGUGCUUCCAUGCGUUCAAGCUUGUUUGGCAAACCCGCGGCGUCUAUUGGAAUAUGCAAUCAAACAUGGUUAUUUCUCCCAAUAGCGCAUGGUAAGAACUGAUACAGAAAAAUCAGUUGACCACCGUCUACUACUAUGCGGGUGACAUUGAGUAUCCCAGGCUAGCAAUGCUAUUUGGUAUGGAAGAUGUGAAGAAGGAGGAGAAUACCAAAGUGGUUGUCAUUUAUGAUACCACAGUCCUCAUAUAUAGGCCACGACCUCGACGUGGAAUUGGUCCGUCCUCGCCUUGCGGUGAGGCUAGCGACUCGGUCUCCUCACUUUUAGCUGAAAAUUUCGCGACCACUUGAAGAAAGUUGUUCUCCGAUGCUUAUGAACGAUUGGAUAAUGAGGAGGGUUACGUCGGAUGCGAAGCUAGAUACGUCGUCUCGAAUUAAGUCGCGCCCACUUCCUUUCAACCCCGCAGCUUCGCCGCACGGGAGCUCUUGCGGCUCCACAAGCCCUAGCAAUUGGUGAAGGAACAAUAUGAAGUAGAAGACUAUGUUUCGUUGCUUGGCCUAGGAUUAUCUAUUUGAAUAUGUUCGUAUAUACGUGACUUUCUGUUUAGGGCGUUCUGAGUAGUCUCGUUUAAUCAUUUCGUUUAUUUAGGUUAACAUUUAUUCAAGUAGUUGCAUGGCCUACUAAAUGUUUUAAAUCGUGUUGUAAUAUGGUGGAAAAUUGAGCUGAGCUUAAUAUAUAUGUCUCUUAAGUUUGAAA